rnacentral:rRNA from 1 species
AGUGAACGCUGGCGGUAGGCCUAACACAUGCAAGUCGAACGGCAGCACAGUAAGAGCUUGCUCUUAUGGGUGGCGAGUGGCGGACGGGUGAGGAAUACAUCGGAAUCUACUUUUUCGUGGGGGAUAACGUAGGGAAACUUACGCUAAUACCGCAUACGACCUACGGGUGAAAGCAGGGGAUCUUCGGACCUUGCGCGAUUGAAUGAGCCGAUGUCGGAUUAGCUAGUUGGCGGGGUAAAGGCCCACCAAGGCGACGAUCCGUAGCUGGUCUGAGAGGAUGAUCAGCCACACUGGAGCUGAGACACGGUCCAGACUCCUACGGGAGGCAGCAGUGGGGAAUAUUGGACAAUGGGGGCAAGCCUGAUCCAGCCAUACCGCGUGGGUGAAGAAGGCCUUCGGGUUGUAAAGCCCUUUUGUUGGGAAAGAAAAGCAGCAGGUUAAUACCCCGCUGUUCUGACGGUACCCAAAGAAUAAGCACCGGCUAACUUCGUG